GCUUCUUUCCGGUAUAUUUCCACUUCUCCACCUCCGUGUGUCUUGCAUGUCUUUGGAAAUCUCUCUUUAUUUGUACAUUUCGGUUCUACUUCACGUGGCCGUUACUACCAUGUUUCCCAACCCUCUGGGGUUUUUAGUUUUUCUGCUGUCUACCCAUUCACUUUAUCACUACCCCACAUUCUCUUUGUUACAACAUGGUCACCCUCACCUAAUGAUUCAAUGUUUGUCAGUGAAGUGUAUGUAUGUAUGUCUGUAUGUCUGUAUGUAUGUAUACACACACACAUCUAUUUAUGUUGACGAUGUGUAUUGAAACCAUCUCUUGAAAACACCAACCAAAAACCCUCACCAAGUCCUAACCCUUCCCCUGUUUCUUGUGACUUCAGUCCCCACUAUUCUCAUUUAAUAUUCUGCAUUGGCAACCUAAGCUACAACUUAUACCCUACACUUGAAUAGGUGACUGGAUAACUGAAUAAACUGUCUUGACUGGGACAGAACGAUUGGCGGUUACUGCUAAACGGGGAAAGGGUUCAUGUGUUUUUGUGUUUUUUGUUUUGUACCAGGUAUGGUUGUCAUGAUAUGGAUGAAUCUGCAUAUGACCAAUGUGUUUGCUUGUGCUUGUGAAAUACCUAGCUUAUUGUUUUCCAGGACCUUUUUCAGUACCUUGUGCUUGUGAAAUACCUAGCUUAUUGUUUUCCAGGACCUUUUUCAGUACCUUGGGCUUUUCAACACUUUCCUUGAGACACCGGUUAUAUUCACUGGGUAGUGGGCACCAAACAGAAGUCAAAUGUUUUUAAACAGAAAACGAGAAUUCUCAUCACUCUUCUGUUUUUAUGAAAAUAUGUUCCUCCUGGUUGGGUCUACAAGCUAUGUAGUGAACGUUUAAACAUGAUUAUUGUAUUGGAGGGGUUUAGACAUUUUCUUUGCAAUACUGUCAAGGAAGAACUGGUUUUCAAGAGACAUUUUGGAAGCUCCUUUAUCCAAAGUGUGCAUAAAUGUUUGUGCAAGUGCCCCCAGGAAGAAUCAAACCCACACUCCAAGCACCAUGCUCUACCUAAUAAGCCACACAGGCAACUACAACACAAAACCGACUGCUGUGUAUCAACUGUAUAUUUCAGAGGGUCUAUGUAGUGUAUCCUGCAGGGCUCUCCAACCCUGCUGUAGGUUUUCAUUCCAACACCUGGAAUUAAGGCUUUUAUUUACAGUCUUGCCUUCGUUGCAGUCAGGAGGAACUCCAUGUCCAAUCACUAAAUACCUGGAGAAAAUUAUAAUUCGAUUGACACAUGAAAACAGCAUAUUACCUGCUCUGAGCACACUUCACACUCUGGGGUCCAGUAUUCUGACUGUAGGAUGUUGUUUAGGGACAGGUGUACUUGGCCCCUGCCUAUGGGGUCCAGUAUCCUGAAUGCAGGGAUGUUGGUUAGGGACAGGUGUACUUGGGUAACUGCCUGUGGGGUCCAGUAUUCUGACUGGGGAUGUUGGUUAGGACAGGUGUACUUGGGUAACUGCCUGUGGGGUCCAGUAUUCUGACUGGGGAUGUUGGUUAGGACAGGUGUACUUGGGUAACUGCCUGUGGGGUCCAGUAUUCUGACUGGGGAUGUUGGUUAGGACAGGUGUACUUGGGUAACUGCCUGUGGGGUCCAGUAUUCUGACUGGGGAUGUUGGUUAGGGACAGGUGUACUUGGGUAACUGCCUGUGGGGUCCAGUAUUCUGACUGGGGAUGUUGGUUAGGGACAGGUGUACUUGGGUAACUGCCUGUGGGGUCCAGUAUUCUGACUGGGGAUGUUGGUUAGGGACAGGUGUACUUGGGUAACUGCCUGUGGGGUCCAGUAUUCUGACUGGGGAUGUUGGUUAGGGACAGGUGUACUUGGGUAACUGCCUGUGGGGUCCAGUAUUCUGACUGGGGAUGUUGGUUAGGGACAGGUGUACUUGGGUAACUGCCUGUGGGGUCCAGUAUUCUGACUGGGGAUGUUGGUUAGGGACAGGUGUACUUGGGUAACUGCCUGUGGGGUCCAGUAUUCUGACUGUAGGGAUGUUGGUUAGGGACAGGUGUACUUGGGUAACUGCCUGUGGGGUCCAGUAUUCUGACUGGGGAUGUUGGUUAGGGACAGGUGUACUUGGGUAACUGCCUGUGGGGUCCAGUAUUCUGACUGGAGGGAUGUUGGUUAGGGACAGGUGUACUUGGGUAACUGCCUGUGGGGUCCAGUAUUCUGACUGGGGAUGUUGGUUAGGGACAGGUGUACUUGGGUAACUGCCUGUGGGGUCCAGUAUUCUGACUGUAGGGAUGUUGGUUAGGGACAGGUGUACUUGGGUAACUGCCUGUGGGGUCCAGUAUUCUGACUGUAGGGAUGUCGGUUAGGGACAGGUGGACUUGGGUAACUGCCUGUGGGGUCCAGUAUUCUGACUGUAGGGAUGUUGGUUAGGGACAGGUGUACUUGGGUAACUGCCACCAUUGGAGCCAACGCUGCUGGAGAGCAGAGGCUCUUCUGGAGAGUAGCAGGUUCUGGAGAAGACCACCUGUUCAUUUGGACUGUGUAUUAUAUACUGCACUGCCUAUGGGAUCUCAAAGCAGAAGUUGAAAUACUGUACAUGGCCUGUCUGUUUAGGACUACUAGGAUAUUCAGUCCAGUUCAAUGAGAGGUGGCCGUGGUCAUUUGUUGUAAGGUUCAUAUUCCCUAAGUAACCAAUCACAGCCAGAAAAGGUGAGGAAUAUAUUCUGCAAUGGUUAUAAAAAAAUAAAUAAGAAAUACAUUCCUAUGUCUGAUUUUUGUUUUUGGAUUCCAAAAAUAAAAAAAGAUUUUCCGCUCUUUUCACUAAUUGAAAAUGGCUGCCUCUUGUUAGAUAUUCCAGUUUUUUAAGUCAUUUUUUGGAUAAGAACGUCGUCAUAUCCUGUAUUUGCACAAAAUACUUGUCUGCUUGCUAUACAACCACUAGAAAAUGUGUGUAUGCAUGGCCUAAAGUUUGCGGGGAGGUAAGGAAAACUGUCUCACUCAUAUUUCGGGGUAUAUUUUGUGCAUACCAAACGUUUAUAAAUGAGGGCCCUAAAAUGUCAUUCCAGUACAUGAACACAGCACCUAAUUACUUUUAUGGGAUUUUUUUGAAUGACAGUUUCAUUUUAAGCAACUUGAAGCAUGUCAAUUCACAACUGUGUGUAUAUAUUGACUU